UAUGAAUUGAAAUAUUUUGAAAGCAUAAACUGUUUUUUGGCAUGCUUUCCACAACAAUGAACAACUGUGUUUCUUAUAAAUUACUAAUUGUUGUUUCUUUCCUUUUCUCUAAAUUUAGUGCAGAUGUUUGCCAUGAAGACUCAAGGAGCUUGAGAUGAGACAUGAAAAAAACACAGAUUAGAUCAAGAAAAUGUGACACCCCCCACCCCAUUCUGGAUGAAAAGGGUCCUGUGAGAGAGGAGAGUACAGCCAACCACAUGGCAGGGCAGGCGCGGUGUCCUGGGCUGGGGCCGUAUGGAAGGUCAGGGGGGUUGGCAAAUAGCGGCAGCCAGGAUUCUGAAGGAAACAGUGGGAGAAUGGGGCGGCUUGAGCCCGCUGGUCACCAGCCAACACACCCAACCUCGAGAGUUCGCUUUCCUCGACUCAGUCUCAAAGCUCUCCAUGCCAAACGGAUAUGAAAAGUAGCAUUACUGCAGAGGACAUCUAUAGACCAACUAUUGAUUUUCUUUCCUUUACAAAUCAGCCCUGAGGUAUUCUGCAACACACACACACACAUGCAAUCGCACACACACCACGUCAUCCUCUCUGAAGUGAAUGGAGGGGUGGAUGGGCUUCUCUCGUUCUCUCACACACAAAAAAGUGCAUUAGGGGCUGGGAGGGGUACAUGGCAACUGCUCGCUUGUUGUCAGGAUAGAUUAGUGUGACACGACUCAAUCAGACGUUCAGCUCGGCAGACAGGCUCGGGGGAAUUUUGCAGAAUGCCUUACGAGAUCCCCAUUGCUCUUGGAUACACACACACACCCAUUGGCCAUCUCCACUUCUAGUUCUUAGAAUCAGACAAUCAAUAUUUAUAUUUAUAAUCCUAUUACAUUUGUACAUAUUGUACAUUUAUAAGUAUUGUUGUAUUAGCAUGUGUAUGCAUAAAGCAUGGCUAGUUGCACUGGAUUUCAUAAAUGCCAUCUAAAUGGAAUGGAUAUUUUUAGUUGUUUGGUUUUGGUACAAGUUUUUUUGGGUUAUUUGGUACAAGCUGUUUUUGUGUGUGUGUUCGAGCAAGAGAGAGUAUGUUUGUUCUCUGUAAAUAUCAGCAGGCCAACUCGGGUCUCCUCCCACUGUUUUGUUUACCAAAAUGAAUGACCCCAUUACAUCACUGGCAGGGGAAACUCAACAUGGAUUUUUAUGCAGUUUAAUUGCAGUUAUAUAUUAGGGAAAUUAUUAAUAUACUAGGCAUCACAACUGUUUUCAAUGUUUUCAAAAGCAAAUCAGCAUAUUAAAAUGAUUUCUGAAGGAUCAUGUGACACUGAAGACUGGUGUAAUGAUACUGAAAAUUCAGUAACAUUUUCAAAUAUAUUAAAACAGAAAAGUUAUUUUUUUUAAAGGUAUAAUAAUAUUUCACAAAAUUACUGUUUUACUGUGUUUUUGAUCAAAUUAACCUUCUUGGUGAACAUAGAAUAAUUAUUUCUAAACAUAAAAACCAUAUACCGACCCUACUGGUUUUGUUUUUUGUUUUGUUUUUUGUUUUUUGUUUUGUUUUUUGUUUUUUGUUUUGUUUUGUUUUGUUUUGUUUUGUUUUGUUUUGUUUUGGUUUGGUUUGGUUUGGUUUGUUUUGGUUUUUGUUUUUAAACGAACAAUUCAUCUGUGAAGAUUAUUCCGAAUCAUGAAACGUCUUUGUAUUCUUUCCGACUUUCCUUUUCAUAUGACAUCACCAACCCCUCUUAUUUUUCAGCCCCGCCCCUUCAAUCUCCUGUCUUAUAAAGAUCACUCUUCACAAUUCAGUAUUCUCCUGAUGGAUAAAACCAAAUCCCACUCACUUUCUUCUUGCUGAAUAUUUUCUUUCUUGUUAAUAUGAAAGUAAAAUCUGUUUCAUAUUGAAUUUAAAUAUCAGAGAGAGCGAAAAAGGUGAUCUUUGGAACUAAUUUUACCAUGUUUGGUCCUCCAGGGGAGCAAAAUGUCACAAACCAAGCUGUUGGGUUUUCACAUGAGGUAGAAUAUGUAGCGCAGCUCUCUGUCUGUCUAAGCUUGCUGUACAGUAGCUGCAGCAAUGCGUGGCUGAAUCCUGCAUGCGAGCCACCCUGUCACAUACAAUUAGACCGAGAGCCCUUCCUCUCUUCCUCUGUUUUUACGCACAUGUCUCUCAUUUAAAAAAAAAAAUUUACUUCAUUUUUUUUUCUUGUGACAGCAUAUAUGCAGUUAUGGAUUUACAGUGGAAGCCAUAGAUUUUUAUUGUACAAUGUAAGUGCACAAAUAGAGUUGUUAUUGUUAUUUAUGGGGCAGGAUUUGUACAAAUCCUUAAAGUGAUAGUUCACCCAAAACUGAAAAUUCAUUAAUUACUCACCCUACUCGCAAGACCUUUGUUCAUCUUUGGAACACAAAUUAACAAUAUUUCACAAUAUUUUUGAUGAAAUCCGAGAGCUUUUCUGUCUAUGCAAGGGAGUGUCUAUGCACCGACACGUUCAAGGCCCUUAAAGGUAGUAAGGACAUCAUUAAAAUAGUCCAUGUGAUAUCAGUGGUUCAACCUUAAUUUUAUGAAUCUACGAGAAUACAUUUCUCAAACUAGUGUGAAUUUUGCAUGAUCAAGCAUCACAUUUUCUACAGAAAUUGACCAUAUUUGCUUGUAUUCAACCAUGAAUAUUGCUUUAAAUUUUCAUAUGUAAAUUUUUUUUUCUCUCGCUCUCUCUCACACACACACACUUGUCCCUGUUUAAGUAGCUGCCCACUGGUGCAUUUAAUAAAAUAAAAAGGACGCAAGCGUGCUGUAGGCA
ensembl:lncRNA